rnacentral:rRNA from 1 species
AUUGAACGCUGGCGGCAGGCCUAACACAUGCAAGUCGAACGAGUGGCGGACGGGUGAGUAGUGUCUGGGCAACUGCCUGAUGGAGGGGGAUAACUACUGGAAACGGUAGCUACUACCGCAUACCAUGCGAUGUGGCCAGAUGGGAUUAGCUAGUAGGUGGGGUAAAGGCUCACCUAGGCGACGAUCCCUAGCUGGUCUGAGAGGAUGACCAGCCACACUGGAACUGAGACACGGUCCAGACUCCUACGGGAGGCAGCAGUGGGGAAUAUUGCGCAAUGGGCGCAAGCCUGAUGCAGCCAUGCCGCGUGUAUGAAGAAGGCCUUCGGGUUGUAAAGUACUUUCGGCGGGGAGGCGUUACCCGCAGAAGAAGCACCGGCUAACUCCGUGCCAGCCGCCGCGGUAAUAC